rnacentral:rRNA from 1 species
AGCAGCCGCGGUAAUUCCAGCUCCAAUAGCGUAUAUUAAAGUUGUUGCAGUUAAAAAGCUCGUAGUUGAAUUUCGGGGUUCCACCGUUGGUCGGGCUAUUGUUUGUACUGGCGUGUGGAAUUUCUACCUUCUGGGGAACUAUCAUGUUAUUAAUUUAGCGUGGUAGGAAACCAGGACCUUUACCUUGAAAAAAUUAGAGUGUUCAAAGCAGGCCUUUGCUCGAAUACAUUAGCAUGGAAUAAUAGAAUAGGACAGAGGUUCUAUUUUGUUGGUUUCUAGGACCGCUGUAAUGAUUAAUAGGGAUAGUCGGGGGCGUCCGUAUUCAAUUGUCAGGGGUGAAAUUCUUGGAUUUAU